GACGAACGCUGGCGGCGUGCCUAAUACAUGCAAGUAGAACGCACAGUUUAUACCGUAGCUUGCUACACCAUAGACUGUGAGUUGCGAACGGGUGAGUAACGCGUAGGUAACCUGCCUGGUAGCGGGGGAUAACUAUUGGAAACGAUAGCUAAUACCGCAUAAUAUUGAUUAUUGCAUGAUAAUUAAUUGAAAGGUGCAAUUGCACCACUACCAGAUGGACCUGCGUUGUAUUAGCUAGUAGGGGAGGUAACGGCUCACCUAGGCGACGAUACAUAGCCGGCCUGGAAGGGUGGACGGCCAAACUGGGACUGAGACACGGCCCAGACUCCUACGGGAGGCAGCAGUAGGGAAUCUUCGGCAAUGGACGAAAGUCUGACCGAGCAACGCCGCGUGAGUGAAGAAGGUUUUCGGAUCGUAAAGCUCUGUUGUAAGAGAAGAAAGGGUGUGAGAGUGGAAAGUUCACACUGUGACGGUAUCUGACCAGAAAGGGACGGCUAACUACGUG
rnacentral:rRNA from 1 species